UUGUGUUGUUUCUAAUAAAUUUUAUUUGUUUAUUUCGUUUUCAUCGCUAAAUCAGCUCUAUAAACGUAUUUUCUAUGAAAUUACCGAAUGUCGUUUGGAGCUGAUCUACGUCGGCUCGGCGCUUUCACCCUCUCGAUACGAUUGUCAACCCCGUGGCUGGCAGGUGCGUGGGAAAAGUUUGUCUGUUCCAGUGUCUUGAUGGAAUUUACAACAAAAUUGUUGCCUGGCUUGAUGGCAGAUGCCGAGAAUUUGCUGGACAGAGUGUUAUUAAUCCUCCGAUACUUUAAAAACUCUUUGAAAGUUGGAUCAUCGCAUGGCAGAAGUGCUGUAACCAUGGAGACAGUUGAUUCUGUAUCUAACAGGAAUAUUGUGUACUCCAGCUGUUGUCCUUAUCUUACCUGCUGUGGAAUUUUUGACUUUUUCCAGACCACAUGUGUUUCUUACAGCGAGAAAUCCAGCUUGAUGACUCUCUACAAAAAAGACUGGCAGAUUUUGAGCAGAGCUGGUAAUUUUUAAACGAAGCCAGUCCUGUAGCUAGCUGCUAUUUUCAUUUUGUGUCUAUAUCAGGAGUUGGAGCUGAUUCCUGUUUUUCUGAUACACACCCCUUGAUCCGUGCUUCCCCCGUGCCAUGUGGAGCAUCUUGAAGGCACACUUAAGAAAUCAUCCAAAAAAAAUCAAUGAGUAUAUGUUUGAUAUAAAAGAAAAACAGAAGUGUUCAGUAGAUGUAUGGGAUAUUUUAGGGGGAAAUAAAUUGCAAAAUAUUUUACAAGUACAGUGUGAUCUCACAAUUUCAAAUCAACUUUUGGUAAGAAAAUGGGAAGACCUUAUCUUUAACAUCAGUUGUUGUUUUAAAGACUUUCAGAAAGGUUUAUUUUUUUGGUUGGUUUUUAUUCAUUUCAUAUUAACUUUGUAGAACUACCUGAAUUCUGAGUGUCACUUGUGCUUUGAACUACAUUUGGAUAUGAAAUCAGCUCCUGCUGCAGUGAUCCUGCAUCAAUGGAUGGACCACCUUCAUCAAAAUACCUGUUUCCUGAUCUGCUUCUGCAUGGAGAGCUCCAGCCGAAUUGCCCAAGGACACUGCUUCUUUUCUUCUGUCUGGUGCACACUCUUGGAUUGCUCUUGUGGGGGAAACUCCAGUGGAAUGACCCAAAGCCAUUUCUCCAUUGCUUCUGCCUGAUGCCCACUCCUGGUUUUGUGAUUUUUCUGAGACAGUUGAUGCGAUUCGAAUGAAUGCUGAAAAAAGAUUGAAAUAUUUAAUGAAGUCAAGUUACUUCCAGGCAAAGGAUAUUCACAGUAUACAUGUAUUCAAGUAAAGUCAUAAAGGGGUAAAAAUUAACAGUAAUUAAGCAAUAACAUUUCAGUGAAAAUUGCCUAAGUUUUACUGUAAAAUAUGUAGUAAUGCAGAAUUUAUCUUUUUUUUUUUUUUUAAUUUUAUGUUAAUUGAUUUUUUCUUGUAUUGAAAAAAUUUAAGUAUAUGUACCUUCAUUCUUAUAAGUCCUACAUAGUUGUCCCUCCUCAUGUAUUUUGAUUUUGUUCAGUGGUAAGCUGAGUUUUGAUGCUUCACAAUCCUGAACACACUUCUUCCAAUCUUCUGCCAGGAGUCUUUGCUGGUCCUUGUCUGACAAAGACCGAAAGUGGCGUAAGGGAGGGUAUGUAUGAAAAUCUGGCUCUUCAGGCCCAUCAUGGAACAUAACUGCACCCUCAUGUAAGGACCACCACAUGUUCUCUCCACCAUACAUAAAAUCCGAGAUUCUCUGGUAGUGGACUUGAAAGAGGGUUGGUCUCUUCAUUAUGAAAUCAAGAUCAAAUUUUGUAUUUUCUGACUUAGGCAAGAGUUUUGCCUGGUGACUGACAAUGGAUUCUUGAUGUUUAAGGUAGUCUUUCUUGGUCUCGUCCAUCUGUUGAGCAUUGUACCGUAAAACUGCGUUGUCAAUAACCUUUCCACAUUGUCUGUUAGCUGUAUUUAAUGAGAUACUCCUUAAGUCGCCAAAUGAUCUUUCCUCUUGCUCAGGGACUAAGGAUCUAAGGCAGAACAAUCUAUAUGUUUCAGGACAAUGGACUGUUAAACUGUGAAAGUGGCUGCCAAAGAACUUUCUGGUGGUCAUCUUCUUUGGUAUUCCAAUGACAGUUUUUGAAAGGAUGGAGAAUUUAAAGCAAAGGUUGUAUAAUCGCAGUACUUUCUUUGUUGUUCUCUGCUGGUAUUCACUGUAACAUAUAGAAAUGAUUUCCACUAAAGUCAUACAGAGUUCAGAAAUUUCUUUGCUGAUUUUUUUCUCUAAAAAUUUUAGAUGGGUAAACAUGGCUAGCUUGACUGCAAACAGACGGGCAUCGGAUCCCUUGAGCUGAUUUUUGUCCCCAAUGGUUGAAGUAGCAAAUUUUUCAAAUUCUUUUUGUGUUGUUAAAUUACCAAUAUGGCAGGGUAGUUCCAAUAUCAAAUUUUGUACAAUGUUGGUGAUGUCGUGAAGAGGCUCGCAGGGUGGUAUCUCAUAUAGGUGGAGCAAAUCAGAAAUAUUGUUGUCGGUUGUCAGUAGUGCUGGUGGUCUCUGGAUACCUCUAAGAAUUGUUGUAAGUUCUUCCUGCAUCUCACUUUUGCUUUUAUUAUGGAUGUCAUGGCCUCUUGCUUUUAAUUCUACUUCAAGGUCUGACUUUUUGAGAUUAGAAAAAGGGGAUGGGUUUAUGACUGAAAAUCUUCUCCAUAGUUCUCCUUCUUUGAAUAUCUGCACCCGAUCAUCUAAGGAAGGAUUCCCAAUACUGUAAACAUAUUCUAAAUUUUGAUGUUCUUUUGACCUUACUCCACACAGGCAGCUGUAAUUCCCACCCCUUUGAUGCCCUGCUUCAAAUUGUCUAGCAGGGCCAUCCCCACUAAAAACUCUUGG